rnacentral:lncRNA from 1 species
UGAUAUUAUAAUAUAAUAAAUCAAGAGUUGUGAUUAAAUUUGACUCAUAGGAGAGAAAAUUUGAUUUGAAUGAACUAAAUGUUGAGUCUUGUCAUUUGGUUCACCAUCCCUAAUAACUAUGUUGAUUCAUUAUUGUUUAUCAGAGUCUUCAAAUUUUUCACAGCCUACCCUGAAACAGAAAACAUUGAAUAUGAUAGUAAGAUAUGGAACUAAUAAAGUCAAAUGAAGCAAUUUGACAGUAAAUCACUUACAUUUAACAUCUUGACGCCGCACUAAGUGCGACUUUACCCAUUUAGGCAGUGGCCAGAAAACCUAUGUGGGGUUAUGUUCGAAAAACAAUACAUGUCACGAUACUAAUAUCAUAUAGCCAUGCACCUCAAAGCAUAACAUUCUUCAAAGAAAUUACAAUCAAAUCUAUAAAAAGUUAAAGCCAUUUUUUAAGUUGUAAUCAUUACGAAGUCACAAUGAUUUACACAUGAACACUAGUCGGUCACUUUCAAAACUUAAAUUCAUUCUGAAUAACUGAUGUAGUAUUUUUCUAUCAAUCAAAAGUAAGUAUUGUAUAUCGUCUCCAUAUAGACUAGCGCGAUAUUCAAGCCAUUCAACAAUCAAUAUUGUUCUAAGUGUAUGGAUUUAAAAUAUUUGUUUGUGUAAACCUAUAAUAACAACUGCAAUCUCAUGAUCAAACAACGAAUUCUAACUUUUUAAACGGUAUUAUCACAAUCACUCAACAACAUCAUUUGUGUCCAAAUGAUGUCGUGAUUUCUAAUGGACUAUUCAAAAGUCGAUUUCCCAAACUAUUAAACAAUCAGAAAGUCAAUCGGAUCGUUCAAUCGACGAUUUCCCAAUCUAUUAAACGACCCAAAACCAUUAAGUUCUUGAUUACAAAGUGAUUAUCAAAGAUUAAAUCCUAUGUCUAGAAUUAAAACUUAGAUAGAUUAUUAUUUUAACCCUAGAUUCAAAAGUAUUUGUCAAUAACAUUUCAAAUCUCAAAUAAAGCUUUAAAUGCAAGAAUAAUAAGAAGAUUGAAUAAAUAAGCUAGAACCAUAUAUUAAAAGAUCAAGAGUUUACAUAAUGACUUGUUUGAAUACCUCAAAACCCACAAGGGUAGAUGUAGCUACAUAUGUCUUUGCAAGCUUGACAAAGGAUGAAAGAAAGAUGAAGAUUUCAUGCCUAGAUUCAUGAUGUCUCAACAAAUCUUUUGUAGAAUCUACUCCUAACACCUUACGUUGUGUUUCUCUCUAGAAAUGUCAUCUUUCUCCAAGAAACCAAAAAUCUCCAAAAAUGUGAUACCUGUACAAGAAAAGCAUGAUUCUGUUUGUCUCCAAAAAAUGUAUAUGUCCUUUGUUACUGUGCGGCUUCUCUUAUUAUCA